AUGUUUCAGUUUAUAAAGCCUUGUUUCUUUUUCCAGGUACAUCCCAAGUCCAUUAAAGUGUUUACAUUAUUUUACUGGACAGAUAAUUCUUUUAUGGGAAAGAGAAUGACAAAAUACAAAGGAAUGAAUAAACGGAGAGGAAUUACAAAGAUCAAGAUGAAUUCAGUGAAGCUUCCCAUAGGACUGUUCAAAGAUCUCCAGAAAUUCAGUGGCGUUUCAGGAAAAGUAUACCAAGGUAAUGUGGAUGGGGGUGAUUAUCUUUGUGUGUGUGUGUGUGUGUGUGUGUGUGUAUAUACAUAUAUAUAUAUAUAUAUAUAUAGGAAUUAAUCUCAGGGGACAUUUCUUAAAUACUCAUCAGCAGUGAUUCAUCCCCUUCUCUCUCUGAGCCACGGUGAAGUAUCUCUUGAGUGGAGUAAUUGUUUUGUUUAUGCAUUCACUGCUGCAAAUGCAAGGAGUCUCCAGGUGAUAUGCCUAAUUGCCUCUUUUUCCACCAAACUGCUGCACACUUUUCAAUGGUUUUAUCUUUAAAGGGAGCAUCUCAAUCUGUUUCUCUAAUUGAGAACAAAUGCCAUCUUCUAAUUAAGAGAUUUGUCAAUGCAAGCAAUGGGUUCCUGGUGUGUACUUUGGGGCAGGCAGAAGUUGAAUCUAGGUAUGUAUUACUUUUUGUCCGUCCAACAUUAAGUCAAUCGAUUGUGUGGGAUAAUUUUUCCCAUUUUUUUUCUUUCUGGCCUGCCAUUGAUGUAGUCAUGUGAGAGAGACACUUUGGGCCUAAGAAAUGAAGGCCAAUUCAUGUGAAGUCAGUCCUCUUAUAACCACAGUAGGAUAGAACUUGUUUCUGAAACCUUCAGAAGGACCAGCCCCUAGACAAACAGCUCCAGUGAAGUCAGCUCUAAGGACAUAUUGAGGUAAGAACUAGGGAAAAUUCACAUGUUCUAUUUCCCUAUUGCUUUUAAAAUCCAAUUCCAAAUGUAUUGCCUAUCAAGAGAGAAGUCUCUAUUACUUUGUGAAAAUGAUUUAUACGGCUCUGGAUAUGUAUUUUUUUGUCCCCCUUUUCCCCUCCCAUUUACUCCUUCAGCCACAGGUAAAUACUUUUUGCCAUGACCUCUCUCUAUCUGUGAAGUCAAACUAAUAUGCUAACUUUUGUUUGCUUUUCUUGUGCAACACUGCUGAUGGGAAACAUUUGGUCCUCCUUCAUCUAUUUCUGUUACAACCUUUUAAGACCUGUCAUUAUAAUAAAAAAUAUCUUAAUGUUGAUAAUGACAUUGAUGAUGGUGAUGAUGACUGUAAGCUCUGCCAUAGACUAUUAACUCCAUAAAGGCAGGAACUGUAUCUAUCUUCUUUACCAUUUUAUAAGGCAAAUCCAACAGAGUCCCUGACUUGGAUCAAGUACUCAAGAAAAAUAUUUGUUAAAUGAAUGAAAAUGCUAGCAGAGACCAUUGGCUGAAAGUUUGCUAAUAUAAUCUUUAUAUUUUAUAAUCUCUAUAUUUUAUUUUUACAACCAUCUUUGGAAACAGGUAUUGAUUAUGCCUAUUUUGCAAAUGAGAACACUAUCUUCAAUGGAAGGAUAACCACAUCUACAUUUGAAUGUAGUUAAAGGGAUGCCCCUCAAGCUUUAGUGUAUAUUUGAAUCCCCUGAGGAAUCUUAAUAAAACGCAAAUUCCAGUUCAGUAGUUCUGAGUUGAGGCCCAAGUUUCUGCAUUUCUUACAAGCUCCCAGGUGAUGCCCACACUGCUGUUCUGAGUGAGCCAGCACCCUUGAGUAGCAAUAUUCCCUUAAAAUUACCUACAGAUGAGUAUGUAAAAUUCAAAUUAUUGGUCUACACAGAUAUACUAAAUCAUAAUCAUUAUUCGGGAAAUGAGAAUCAGCUACCUACAGUGUAAGCAAUCUGGUAAUUAUUAUGAAAAUUAAAUGAGUAAAGUGUAUGUUAAGUGCUUUAUAAACCAAAAGUAGUAUAUAAAUAUUAGAAUGACAUUUUUAUAAUUGUUACUAUUGUUUGUUAGUGACAUAAAUUUUAUUUCUGUAUCACUCCAAACAUGUAUAUUGUUUGUGAAGGAUGUUUUUACCAAUAUAUAUCUACAAUAAAAUGGUCUAAAUUAAAUCAUUGGAAUAUAAUUGUG
rnacentral:lncRNA from 10 species